rnacentral:misc_RNA from 1 species
AUGAAAAUGCUAUUUUCAUAGGCCUAUCAAUACCCCUUUGUUUACCUACCAUGUUGCUUCCACUGGACUGUCGAAACUCGCAAGAGAAAGACCUCUGGCUUCUUGAAAGCUGGGGAGUGCCGGUGGAUAGCCAAAACCAAAACCUAAAACCGAAAUCUAUCUUAUAGUCUGAAUUAUUAUAAUCAUUUAUA